rnacentral:rRNA from 1 species
UACGUAGGGAGCAAGCGUUGUCCGGAAUCAUUGGGCGUAAAGCGCGCGUAGGCGGCCCUGUAAGUCCGUUGUGAAAGUCAAAGGCUCAACCUUUGAAAGCCGAUGGAUACUGCAGGGCUAGAGUCCGGAAGAGGCGAGUGGAAUUCCUGGUGUAGCGGUGAAGAUGCGCAGAUAUCAGGAGGAACACCAAUAGCGAAGGCAGCUCGCUGGGACGGUACUGACGCUAAGGCGCGAAAGCGUGGGGAGCGAACAGG